rnacentral:rRNA from 1 species
ACGGGAGGCAGCAGUGAGGAAUAUUGGUCAAUGGGCGUAAGCUUGAACCAGCCAAGUAGCGUGAGGGAUGACUGCCCUACGGGUUGUAAACCUCUUUUGUUUGGGAAUAAAGUAGACUACGUGUAGUCUUUUGCAUGUACCUUUCGAAUAAGCAUCGGCUAAUUCCGUGCCAGCAGCCGCGGUAAUACGGAAGAUGCGAGCGUUAUCCGGAUUUAUUGGGUUUAAAGGGAGCGUAGGCGGCCUGUUAAGUCUGCGGUCAAAUGUCAGGGCCCAACCUUGGCAUGCCGUGGAUACUGGCGGGCUUGAGUGCACACAAGGAAGGUGGAAUUCGUCGUGUAGCGGUGAAAUGCUUAGAUAUGACGAAGAACUCCGAUUGCGAAGGCAGCUUGCUGGGGUGCGAUUGACGCUGAGGCUCGAAAGUGCGGGAAUCAAACAGGAUUAGAUACCCUGGUA